GGAGAACACACUGAGGGCAGUUUUAUCUCCGUUUGAUACGACGCUGCCGUUAAAGAAACACGACAAGGAAGAAAAAACCAAGGUGGACGCCGGCCAAGAUAAACACAAGGAAAGAAUGCGAGAGAGAGAGACGCUGCAGAAGUUACAUUUUGCUUCCAAUAAGGCAGAUUUAUAAAUAAAUCUUCUCCCUGCUUUCUGGAACUGUUGAGAACUGAUCCUGCGUUUUUCAACCUCUUCUUGCACAUUUCACAGGAGUUUUUACUUUGUCUAAAAAGCCAUUUUUACAGAUGAAGCGCUGAUUAAAACAUACAAUAGAACUGUAAAAUGUUGUAAAAUGGAAAGAAGUGACUUAUUCUUAUACACAGGUUUUAAAAAACAAACCUAUAAUCUGAUCAUUUUACUGUCAAAGUUUAACAACAAGUUUAUCCUCAAAUCUUCACUUCUAUUCUGAACAGUACCAAGAGUUCUUGUGUAUCUAAAGAUCUAUGUUGUCAUGACGAGGAAGAACAAAGAAAUAAAAAAAACAACAACAUUAUUUUACUACAGAUUUGUCAGUAACUGUAAAGUAUUACUAUGUACUGUACAGUAUAUGAACUCAAUACUUGACUGGUCCUAGUUUUACACAAAUGACUCUUUAAGUAGUGGCCACAACUGCAGUUGUCAUUUUCACCACACUGUCUUCCUUCCACUCAACUUUCCAACAACAUGCUCAGAUGCAGCAUAUUAUCUAAGCUUGUGCUUAGAUAAUAUGUAGUUGAUAAGUCUGCUUCUUAUCAACUACCCAUCAGUGGUUUAGUUUUGGUUUCAUGCGGUAUUCAAAUUGACUGGCAAUCAGAAUUAGAAAUAAUCCAAAUCAUCAAAAUGAAUUGAAAUAGAUUUAUAUCACUGUCAGGAAU